UUAAACUGAAGAGUUUGAUCAUGGCUCAGAUUGAACGCUGGCGGCAGGCCUAACACAUGCAAGUCG
rnacentral:rRNA from 1 species